rnacentral:rRNA from 1 species
UACAGAGGGGGCAAGCGUUGUUCGGAAUUACUGGGCGUAAAGGGCGCGUAGGCGGCCUGCUAAGUCGAACGUGAAAUCCCCGGGCUCAACCCGGGAACUGCGUCCGAUACUGGCAGGCUUGAAUUCGGGAGAGGGAUGUGGAAUUCCAGGUGUAGCGGUGAAAUGCGUAGAGAUGUGGAGGAACACCUGUGGCGAAGGCGCCUUGCUGGCCGAUUUCUGACGCUGAGGCGCGAAAGCGUGGGGAGCAAACAGG